rfam:Danio rerio chromosome 4, GRCz11 reference primary assembly.
GGUAGCGUGGCCGAGGGGUCUAAGGCGCUGGAAUUAGGCUCCAGUCUCUUCGGGGGCGUGGGUUCGAAUCCCACCGCUGCCA